CACUUAGACAACUUUUCUUAUCGUUAAGGAUAAUUUUUUGUAUGAUUAGGAUAAAAAACAAAAAAUGAGUCACACUUCACGGUUUUGAAUUGAAAAAUGUCCUUAAUAAUAAAAAAUUUGUCCUUAAUGAUAAAAAAAUUGUUUCUGAAUAAAAAAGUAUUUCGAGGAGCUUUUUAUCCUCUAAAGAUUCAAUGUUUGGGAUUUUCACGCAAAUUAAUCUAUUCGAGCAUUCGAUUGUAUGUGUAAAUUUGAGAAUUUGGAUUAAUUCUAUGUGAAAUUGUUGAAUAUGAUGUUUUAAAUCAUCCUUAAUUGUACAAUCUUCUUGGCAAAGGUUGUUCCUUUCUAACUUCUUCUAGUGGUUAUGAGCAUACUAUAUAAAGUCAUGAACCUUCAAUAUUGGUCACAAUUAAUUGUCUGAUAAAUUUGGUGGUGAAGCGAGCUCUUCAGAUUUCGCUUCUUUUAAUUUUGGAUAAAUUACAUAAAAUUAUCUUAACUAUUGGGUCAAUCACAGCUUCAUACCCCGUCUUUAAAAAAUAUCAAUGUCAUACCUCAUCUACAAAUGUGUUACAAUUUCAAACAUUCCGUCAGUUGUCUGUCAAUUCUUUCGUUAAAUGCUGACGUGGAGAUGAAUGGAGUGAAUGACAACGGAACCGAUGAGUUUUCAGUUUUCGGCAUUGAUGAUGUCGUAACGAUUCUCAAAUCUGAUUUCGAGAAUGCGUAUUUCGUAACAGUUACCUACCUGUACUGUUUGAAUGAGAGCUUCCUUGCGCAUGACUGCGUAUAUGAAUGUAUCGUUAACCGAUUGGUUUCCUUUUUUUUUUUUUUUUUUUUUUUUUGUUAUUUCACACUUCUACUUUGUGUUUGGUAAGAGGGAUUUUCACUUCUGCAAUUUAUACAGAAGAUUGUAUCUUCGAAGAUCCAACUGUUAGAUUUCGAAUUUUCGAGGCAAGAAAAUUCUGCGGUUCUCUUUCGUUUCACUUCUACUUGAUAUAAACUGCAACAUGCAGGACAUACCUAAAACUUCCAUGGAGGCCUCUCAUUUGCAUCGAUGGAGGUACGUUCUAUGACUAAGACUAUAAGUUUAAAGUGAGAACAAAAGCGCUUUCAUAUAAGGCACGCCGAGACCAAGAGCUGGAAUGUCUCUGGCCACCUGUUCACACCUGCUUAUGGAAGAUCCAAUGACUGAACACGGUAAGUCUUCGAACUUCGAACGAGGUUCACAAUCAUUUUACGUUAAGAUCAAUAGGAGUUGCUAAUCAGGACCACCACGGAAAGACCAACAUUAUGUUCACUGGUACCGGUCGAACUUUCAGUUGUCGACAUUCGAUUCCGUAGUUCCAACAUUUGAAGUCCUGUAUCUCGGCGAAACUUGAAAGUCUGGUUAGAUUUUGCUUCUUUUGAUAGUACUAGACCUUACUUGGUACGCUUUGUUUUUGGUAUUUCUUUUGACUUGUGCCAAUGUAACGACGUAGGGGAAUCCAAAUGUAAACAUAAUACCUAUUCCUGUAUGUGGGCUUUUGUAGAUGCAGAAGUUUAUGGUUGUAUAUUAUUUAUGUCGAUUAAAAUUCUGUCUAGUUCUGUAUAGACUUUUCUAAUGCUAAAAUAUACUGGAAUACACGUGAUUUGGUUGU